GGAGUUUGGACCGUGUCUCAGUUCCAAUGUGGGGGACCUUCCUCUCAGAACCCCUACUGAUCGCAGGCUCGGUGGGCCGUUACCCCGCCGACAACCUAAUCAGACGCAUCCCCAUCCCUUAGCGAUAAAUCUUUGGUCCUCGUCAGAUGUCUUCAAAGGACAACAUAGGGAAUUAAUCCGACUUUCGCCGGG
rnacentral:rRNA from 1 species